GAACACCCCUGCCUGCUCACGUGUCCGAGACGAAGAACUAGCGCUUCUGGAAGGGGAAGUUGCCUGGGUACACGAGCUGAGCACAUCUCGUUGCAAG
rnacentral:ribozyme from 1 species